GUAUGAAAUGAUGGUAUCCAUCUUUCGGGACUGACCUCUCAUGGAGAGAUUUAAACAUGACUGAUCAUAC